rnacentral:RNase_P_RNA from 1 species
UAAGUAGGCCGGAUGAUCGCGAAUAGCAAUGCCGAAAGGUGCUAUUCGAGGAAAGUCCGGGCUCCAUAGGGCAGGGUGCUGGGUAACGCCCAGUGGAGGUGACUCCAAGGAAAGUGCCACAGAAAUAUACCGCCUUAUAGAGACUGAGUUCUUUAUAAGGUAAGGGUGAAAAGGUGCGGUAAGAGCGCACCAGCAUUCAGGCGACUGAAUGGCUAGGUAAACCCCACCUGGAGCAAGACCAAAUAGGGAGACGUUAAGGGUGGCCCGCCCGUGUCUCCGGGUAUGGUCGCUAGAGGUGUCUGGUAACAGGCAUCCUAGAUAGAUGAUCAUCCAAGACAGAACCCGGCUUAUAGGCCUACUUACCUU